GGCUUUGGGGAGGGGGUGGGAGAGACGACAGGUCUGGGAUCAGGGAGUCUUCAAGGCCCCCGCUGAGGGGACAGCGAAUCUACCAUUGAACCGUGCACGGGGGACAUGGACAAAAUGAGACGCGACAGGGACAAGAGCAUUUUGCUCUGCUUCCAGGAAACAUCAAGUUGCUUGUCUGGAGAUGGAGCCACUACAGGCGGGCCUGGGCGCCUGGAGUCGGGCAUGAAAGAAAAUAGCGCCUCAUCGCUCUUAUCUAAGCCCAGAGGUAGACUUCGCUUGAAAAGAUCGAGAAUGGAGGAGGGGAUCGGCACUCACUUGCAGACAUCAACAGUUUCCAGAAAAUUCGGUUCAAUUCCUUCACCACGGACCCACCAACCAAGGAGCUGGCAAAACCCACUAACCAACCAGGAGAACACAGACCCGGUUUGUCUUUUGACAACCGAGUGGAACUGACGGGGCCGGCGCCUGCCCUGCGGGUCCCCUCCCUUGGCUGAGAAGAAAACCAAAUAAACCUUGAACAGCC
rnacentral:lncRNA from 1 species